GGAGCCGGCCCUUUCUCGCUCACCGUGUGUCCCCAGACAGCCACCGAGGAUGAUGGAGCGGCAGCCGUGGAUUUCCUGUGACCGAAGAUGCCCACCAUCUGUUAAUGGCGUUUCUAUUAACCUGGGAGGCUGGCAGACAGAGGGAGAGGCCAGAACCGGGCCCUCGCCAGGCCACUGCUGUGGUCUCCGGAAAAGCCCGCGGGCCACGGGGACGGUGGGAUCGACACACAGCAGGAUGAAGUGAGGAGACGCUGGAGGCCCCGGUGCCCAUCCCGGCAGAACCCUGACGACCUUCCAGCGCCACCGUCCGCUCCGCUGCAGCCCUGCAGACCUCACGCCAGUUCUCGCUGGGCCAGCUAGAACCCGGAGGCCCAGGGUGAGAGGCUUGGAACCAGAGCCCCUCCCCCUUCAGGAGCAGCCCUCCAGGGUGGCACCGCACCACCCACAGGGACUCGCAGGGGUGCCAUCUCUAUCCCUGAUGGUGGCCUCUUUCCUGGGGCCUAGUUGGCCUGAGUCCAACGGGCAGCAAGGAACCCCCUAGGGUACACAGGGUCAUCAACACCACGACCCAGGACUGACAGGGGCGGAGGCCUAGAGUGGGGCCACCCCCCUGGUGCACGUGUACCCUGACAGCCCAAUCUCACAGGGACCCGGCUCUCCAUGAUGGCACACACCGCCCUCACCUGGGGCCGAGCCUACAGCCUGGGGAGUGCUCCCGGGCCAGGGACAGAGCAGGCCAGGGAACACGGGGCUGGGUCCCGGGAACCACAGGUCCGCCCCGCGCCCUGCAAUGCCCAGCCUGCAGGAGGGCCGAGCAGGUACUCACGAGCAGAGACGGUCAUGCAGCGCCUGAGGUGUGCAGGACACACCCUUAUUUGUGGGCAAAAGAAGGUGUUGAUGGUCGAACAGUGGUGGCAUUUGAGGUUAUAGGUCCCUGAGAAACAUAAGCAGCGUCUGGCCCCCCGCCCCGUGCUGCACCUUCCGCCCUGUUACCUGCUGCCUGUGCC